GCACACUGGAGACUCUCAGUAUGUCAGGCUGUCUGAUCUCAGAGGAAGGCUGUUCUUCACUGGUCUCAGCUCUGAGCUCCAACCCCUCCCAUCUGAGAGAGCUGGACCUCAGCUACAAUCAUCCAGGAGACUCGGGAGUGAAGCUACUGUCAGAGGGACUGAAGGAUCCUCUCUGGAGACUGGACACUCUCAGAUCAAGUCUGUUUCAACUCGACAGAAAGGUCCAGGACAAGUUUAGCCUAGCUUAGCACAAAGCAAUGUGCUUUCUACGCUGUGAGAAGAGUGUGUGGAUGAAGCAUUAUUCUACUCUUUCAGAAGACUAGUUAGCUAGAGGUUUACAAUGUCAGCUGCCGGUGCUGCAUGGCUCAUUUGAUCGAUCAGAGACAUACACUGACGUCUGGUCCAAUUAUUGCAUAAAGUUCCUCUUGUGCUGGGAGAGUACAGACUUUGAGGUCAAAAAGUCCCUCAAAAUGCUCUUUCCUAGUUCCUGCAGUGCAAACACAAUAUAUGUGUGUGUGAGAGAGAUGUAAUGUUGAUGUUUCUCUACAGAGAAAGGUCCACUGUUGCACCAAAUGCUUGCUCUUGGGGGAUUGUUGGGUCUCUGUAAAUGAUAGUGUGGCAGUGGUGCCAGCAGCCGUAAUCCUGUACGCACUGUGUAUAUUUUUCUCAUCUAAUGAUAACAAUGUGUAAAUGCACAUAGUCUGUUCUGCUCUCUGCUAUGUUCAGUUAUAGUUUACUAGUUAUUUCUACGUUAUUUCACCCACAAGCCAUCCACUAUUAAUCAGAAUAUUCAUUGUUAUGACUUGAUCUGUAGCUCAGAGGUGGGCUGUCAGGGCAAGGCCUUCUCUGCUGGCAAAGAGAUUGUCAGAAUCAGAAAAUUAUAUUUUAUAAUUAAAGGCCUAUAUAGUCAUUUCUAAAAUAUAUAUAUAUUUAUCAAUUUCAUAUGUAUUUUAUAUAUUGUAUACGCUGCAAGUUUGUUUGGAUUUUUAGAUGUAAAGUUAAUGAAAGGAAGUUGGAUGUAUUUUUCUUCACAUGACAAGCAGCUUUUGUUAAGUUUAAUGGAUUUUUCAGCAUUUUAUUGAAAUUAUUUUAUAGCUAUUACUGCUUGCUUUAGGUGUUAAAGAUUGGAGCAGUGUCAGUGGUUGAUGUGUCUUUGUUUGUGUUAAGCCCCCGCUGCUUGGCUGGAAUUUGGGGGGAGGCCUGUUGAUCGUUGAUUGUGUUAUUUGUGUUUUUGAUUGCUUUGUGGUCACCGUAUGAGUAAAUAUGACCGGUUGUUGUGGGUUUCUUUGGUAAUUCCAUUCAUUUUGACUACAUGUGUUGCAGCAUCCUGUCAUACUGUGUGAAAGUGAUGCUUCAGUCAGCGUGUGUUCAUGUCUCUGCAGUAGCGUAUUAGGUGUUUCUAGGUGUUAAAUCACGUUAUUCCACACGGUAAUGUCCUAGUGUCAUGGUGAGGUUAUUCAAAGGUGAUGUAAUUGCUGUAGGAUAGUACUUGUCAAGUUACGUAUUUAGUACUGAAGGCCCAGGUGUAAAAUACACAGCCCUCCACUGCUGUAGAUAAACUGCUGGUUGCUAUGGACGCUGCUAUCUCUGAACCCACGGAUCUAGCAUGUUGUUGGUAUCAUAUGUGUUUACAUGGACAUGAAUAUUCCAGUCAUGAGGAUUAUCCUGUUUUUGAUCAUAUUCAGGAUAUGAUGUUUAGGCUACAUGGCACACAGAGAAAUCAGGUUAUUCACAUCAGUCAGUCAGGCAAUAGGGCAUAGUGAACUCAGUGGUGCCUACCGUAACAGAGGGGGGGCUAAGGGGGGAAAAGCUGGUCCUCAUUCACAAAUUUCCCAUUAGAAUCUAUAAGGAUAAUGAUCUCAGCAUCACUGGUUUUCUUUUGCUCUCCAGAUGUUUUAGGCUCUCUCAGGUUCAGCUCCUCUCUUAUAGCAGUGAGAUCUCUGCCCAUGACCUGUCUGUCUGCUGUAUCUCCUCUCUUACAGCAGUGAGAUCUCUGCCCAUGACCUGUCUGUCUGCUGUAUCUCCUCUCU